AUCCUUAAGCCAAUGUUCUACCCAAGAACAAGAAUAUUCAUCUAGACAAAUUUCUUUUAGUUUGAAGACUAACCUAUUGUGAGGAACCGUAUCAAAUGCCUUGGUAAAAUCCAAGUAGAUCACAUCCACUGCAACACCCUGAUCUAUACUUCUACUUACUUCUUCGUAGAAUGCAGUUAGGUUAGUUUGACAUGACCUGUGUUUCAUAAAACCAUGCUGAUUAUUGCUAAUUACAAAGUUCUUCCCAGUGAAUUCCUAAAUAUUAUCCCUUAAUAGCCCUUCAUAUAUUUUUCCAGUCACAUAAGUUAAGCUCCCAGGUCUAUAAAUUCUUGGCAAGGAUUUUGAACCCUUUUUAAAUAUAGGAACAAUAUCUGCGUUUCUCCAAUCCUCCGGUACAAUACCUGAAACAAAGGAAUCUUGAAAGAUUAAAUACAGAUGUCACUUAUUUCCCCACUUAGUUCCUUAACUACU
rnacentral:lncRNA from 1 species